rnacentral:tRNA from 1 species
CCCCGCUUAGCUCAGUUGGAAGAGCGUCAGACUGUAAUGGAUAUCAAUUCAUCUGAAUGUCGCCCGUUCGAUCCGGGCAGCGGGGA